CAACGUGGGGAACCUGCCCCAUAGUCUGGGAUACCACUUGGAAACAGGUGCUAAUACCGGAUAAGAAAGCGGAUCGCAUGAUCAGCUUUUAAAAGGCGGCGUAAGCUGUCGCUAUGGGAUGGCCCCGCGGUGCAUUAGCUAGUUGGUAAGGUAAAGGCUUACCAAGGCGAUGAUGCAUAGCCGAGUUGAGAGACUGAUCGGCCACAUUGGGACUGAGACACGGCCCAAACUCCUAGGGAGGCAGCAGAU
rnacentral:rRNA from 1 species